rnacentral:rRNA from 1 species
AGUGAACGUUGGCGGCGUGCUUAACACAUGCAAGUCGAACGCGUCCCGGGGGCAACUCCGGGAUGAGUGGCGAACGGGUGAGUAACACGUGGGUAAUCUCCCCUCGAGUGAGGAAUAAGCUCGCGAAAGCGGGUCUAAUACCGCAUGAUACUCCGGGACCCAUGUCUUCGGAGUCAAAGCCGCAAGGCGCUUGAGGAUGAGCCUGCGUCCUAUUAGCUAGUUGGUAGGGUAAUGGCCUACCAAGGUUAUGAUGGGUAGCCGGCCUGAGAGGGCGAUCGGCCACACUGGGACUGAGACACGGCCCAGACUCCUACGGGAGGCAG